rnacentral:tRNA from 1 species
GGGGCCUUAGCUCAGCUGGGAGAGCGCAUCGCUGGCAGCGAUGAGGUCAGGGUUCGAUCCCCUAGGCUCCA